rnacentral:snRNA from 1 species
GUACUUACCUGGUAGGGGAGACACCAUGAUCAAGAAGGUGGUUCACCCAGGGUGAGGCUCAGCCAUUGCACUCCGGUUGUGCUGACCUCUGCGAAUUCCCCAAAUGUGGGAAUCUCGACUGCAUAAUUUAGGGGGA